GUUUGCUCAGGUGAGGCGCAGACGGGGAAGCGGAGCCAACAUGCCAGUGGCCCGGAGCUGGGUUUGUCGCAAAACUUAUGUGACCCCGCGGAGACCCUUCGAGAAAUCUCGUCUCGACCAAGAGCUGAAGCUGAUCGGCGAGUAUGGGCUCCGGAACAAACGUGAGGUCUGGAGGGUCAAAUUUACCCUGGCCAAGAUCCGCAAGGCCGCUCGGGAACUGCUGACGCUUGAUGAGAAGGACCCACGGCGUCUGUUCGAAGGCAAUGCCCUGCUGCGGCGGCUGGUCCGCAUUGGGGUGCUGGAUGAGGGCAAGAUGAAGCUGGAUUACAUCCUGGGCCUGAAGAUAGAGGAUUUCUUAGAGAGACGCCUGCAGACCCAGGUCUUCAAGCUGGGCUUGGCCAAGUCCAUCCACCACGCUCGCGUGCUGAUCCGCCAGCGCCAUAUCAGGUACCACCUCGGAUGGGCACCUGAAUCUUCCUCCACCUGCCCCUCUGAUGGUUGCCCUCACUAAGCCUGCUGUCCCUAUCUCCUAUGCAGCCCUCGGAGGUGAUGGGUGUGAAUUCACCCAGAGGGUACAGAUUCACCCUUGCACACAGCUCACCAGGGAGCUGGGGCAGCCUCAUGCCCCAAUAGCCCAGCGCAAGGGUCACUGCGGCUCUAGCCGUACACCUUGUGAAGGCCUCUGCCAGGCAUGUGGGCAGCUGGACAGGGUCCGCAAGCAGGUGGUGAACAUCCCAUCCUUCAUUGUCCGCCUGGAUUCCCAGAAGCACAUCGACUUCUCUCUGCGCUCUCCCUACGGGGGUGGCCGCCCGGGCCGCGUGAAGAGGAAGAAUGCCAAGAAGGGCCAGGGUGGGGCUGGGGCUGGAGACGACGAGGAGGAGGAUUAAGUCCACCUGUCCCUCCUGGGUUGCUGGAUUGUCUCGUUUUCCUGCCAAAUAAACAGGAUCAGCGCUUUA
rnacentral:sRNA from 1 species